AGAGUUUGAUCAUGGCUCAGAGCGAACGCUAGCGGCGGGCUUAACACAUGCAAGUCGAACGCCAUCUUCGGAUGGAGUGGCGAACGGGUGAGUAACACGUAGGUUACCUGCCCUGAGGAGGGGGAUAACCCGAGGAAACUCGGGCUAAUACCGCGUAUGGCCUACGGGUCAAAGACUUCGGUCGCCUCAGGAUGGGCCUGCGUCCCAUUAUUUAAUCCUGGUUGGUGAGGUAACGGCUCACCAAGGGUACGAUGGGUAGCUGGUCUGAGAGGAUGAUCAGCCACACUGGGACUGAGACACGGCCCAGACUCCUACGGGAGGCAGCAGUGGGGAAUAUUGCGCAAUGGGCGAAAGCCUGACGCAGCCACGCCGCGUGAGUGAUGAAGGCCCGAGGGUCGUAAAGCUCUGUCGAGAGGGAAGAAGUUCUGACGGUACCUCUCAAGAAAGCACCGGCUAACUCCGUGCCAGCAGCCGCGGUAAUACGGAGGGUGCGAGCGUUGCUCGGAAUCACUGGGCGUAAAGCGUACGCAGGCGGCGCAGUAGGUCGGUUGUGAAAGCCCGGGGCUCAACCCCGGAACUGCAUUCGAACCCCUGUGCUUGAAUAC
rnacentral:rRNA from 1 species